rnacentral:rRNA from 1 species
UGCCAGCAGCCGCGGUAAUACGUAGGGGGCGAGCGUUGUCCGGAUUUACUGGGCGUAAAGGGUGAGUAGGCGGUAACGUAUGUCAGGUGUUAAAGGCGAGAGCUCAACUCUCGUAAGCACUUGAAACUGCGUAACUUGAGUGCAGGAGAGGUAAGUGGAAUUCCUAGUGUAGCGGUGGAAUGCGUAGAUAUUAGGAGGAACACCAGUGGCGAAGGCGACUUACUGGACUGUAACUGACGCUGAGACACGAAAGCGUGGGGAGCGAACAGGAUUAUAUA